rnacentral:tRNA from 1 species
UCCUGGUGGCUUAGAGGGUAAAGCGUCUGCCUGCAAUGCAAAAGACCAGAGUUCGAUCCCUGGGUCGGGAA